UUAACACGCCUGCCUGUCACGCAGGAGAUCGCGGGUUCGAUUCCCGUCGAGACCGCCAUCAUUACAUUUUUAUUAUG
rnacentral:tRNA from 1 species